rnacentral:lncRNA from 1 species
UUCCUAUUGAAUUUAUUUACUUCUUUGGAAAAUUAUGUGAUAUAUAAAAUCAACAUUUUCGAUUGAAAGGGUGAACGCGCCGCCCACUACCCUCCUCAUCCUUCAAUGUAGCGACGGCCAUGUGUGGUGUUACGGUUGGCAGUAGCCUCCGCACCACCUUCUUUCUUGAAUCUGCCAGAGGUUCUACUGCUGGCCUGGUCGGUGGUCUCUGGUGGGUUGAAGAUUGAGACUCUGUUACAGAGCUUGGAUAUGGGUUCCUUGUUGUUUGGUGGUUCCACAACAGUUGAUUUCGCGUAGAGAAUUGUUGUUCCCACAUUUGGUUUGGCUGUGCCACACGAGUAAAUUACUCAAAUGCCCUUCGGUAGUAAACUGCCGAAGUUUUUAGGAAACCGGCGGCAGUUAACUGCCGAGGAAAACCUCGGGAGUUAACUGCCGAGGAAAAUGUUAUAAGAACAGAACUGCAUAGGAGUUUCCAAAAUUCCAUUGUUGCGUUUUUAAUUAUCCAAGGUGCGAUUUUGAGUCAUUUGAAGCCAUUACAAGCCAAUUUCAAUCACAAAAACAAGUAAGUUUUUGAAUCCUAUUGCAUUGUUGCUUUGUGGUCGAAUUGUAUGUUAUUUUUUGUUAAAUUUCGAUUAUAUAGGUUCGAUUAUAUUGAUUUGUUGAAUUUAUGAUAUGUUAGGAUAGUUUAAGUUAGAAUGGUUAGAAUUGUUAGGAUAGUUUAGGUUAGUAUAGGUUGAAUUGAUCGCCAUUUUUUUUUAAUGUAGGAUAUGUCUCAAAAUCAGAAUCAGGGUAACGUUCAGGGUGAUGAGAAGAAAAAAGAAAAAUCACCUAUGACGUGGCAUGGAAUUGUUUGCGAUGGUUCCGAAAAAAAGAAGGGUUCGAAGGUGCCAGUGUACAAUCACUCGAGGUUGAGGAGGAGCGGGAGGAUAUGCUAUUUCGGUCCUCAACCAAAACAAGGUACCGCAGGGACUGUAGCGGACAAGCCGAUUGAUUUGUGUGACGAGGAAGAAUGAAUGUAAUGGCUUUUAAUGCCUAAUUGUUUUCGAUUUUUUUAUGUUUUAUUUUUGUGUCGCGCACAUUUUGUUUGACAUUAUGGUACUUAGAAUAAAAUUGCAUUUGGAAUAAAUAAAUUUGAAAACAAAAUAAGAUAAUUAUUGUUCCAUUCAAAACAAAAUAUAUGUUAUCACAUUACAUAGCAUUACACAUUAGAUUCCGAAAUUUACCUUCCAGCUGCAACAAUUAUCUUACCACUGAAUGUGGCAAAUUCAAACUUGCUAAGCAGCAGGACCCCAGUAUUCGAUCAGCAUCUUGAACGCUGGUAUUCAAGUGUCAAAAGAAUGAGGUGCAUUCCUUGACACUUGAAUACCAUUGUUCAAGAUGCUCAUUGAAUGCUGGAGUCCUGCCGAUUAACAAGUUUGAAUUGCCCCAUCCAGAGUAAGACAAUUGUUGCAGUUGGAAUGUGCAUUCCAACUGCAACAAUUGUGUUACCUUUGAAUGGGAUAAAUUCAAACCUGCAAAACAACACGACUCAAGCAUUUCACCAAGCACUUCAUGUUUUCCCUUUGAAAAGAAUAAAUUUUUGUUAGGCUUGCUUUAGAUGAUGGUAUUCAAGUGCCACCGAAUUGAGGUUCAAUCCUUGACACUUAAUACCUUCAUCUAAACCAACAUAACAAGAAUUUAAUAUUUUCAAAGGAGAAACAUGAGGCGCUUGCGAAAUGCUCGAGUCCUGUUGUUUGACAAGUUUGAAUUACCCCAUUCAAAGGAAGACAAAUGUUGUAGUUGGAAUGCACCUUACCCUAACUAAUGACGAUCUUCUGGCGGAAUCAAACUUUUGAUGAUAUCUUCAGUUGAUCUAAGCAACUUCACCCGCAUAUCGAUCCACUGGAACAUGUUGUGCUCCCAAAACAUGCUCGUCACGUUUUCGUCGUUCGUUAAUUCCACCCAAGUGAAUGAUACUCUCCCCUCGUCGAGCGUUGGACGUUUAUACCAAACGUGUUCCACCAUACUUGUGUCUCUGGGGUUGACUCCUUGGUUGAAUUCAAUCAGUUUAUCCUUGAGACCUCUUAACGUUACACCAAGGCACCAAACCUUCAACCUCUGAGGUUCUCUGCCGUUGAAUUGCGCAUGAACGUCGAUCCACCCGACCAUUGUUUUAAAUCUACAUAAUAAGAAACUAAAAACAAUCAAUGUAAAACUCAUUCAAACAUUUCAUUGAACACUUGAUGUGCACAUUAUACAUUGACUCUAAAAUUCAUAAAAAUAACCCUAAAAUUAUAAAUCAUAUACUCUUACUAAAAUAAAAAAAUUAAUCAUAUAACAUAAACAUCAUGCAAAUAUUUUAACAACAUUAAUCAACUAACAUCUACCCUAAAAAUUAAUUAUAACAUGUAAAUCUACUAAAAAAUAAUAAAUGUACUCAAAAACUAAAAAAUAAUAACAUUUAUAACAACUAAAAUGUAAGUUAAUAGUAUUAAAAUUACUUACUUGUGAUUUUGUUGAAUAAAGUUGGUUGGAUUUGGUUGUGUUUUUUAGAGAGAUUUUGAGAGAAAUUUGAAGAAAUUAUUUGGAAGAUAAGAUGAAUAAUGGAUGAGAGGAGAUUCUGCCAGAUUUGUAGGUCAGAGAUCCUCGGCAGUUAACUACCGAGGUUUCCCUCGGCAGUUAAUUGCAGCCGAAUUUUUCAAAAUUUCGGCAGUUAACUGUCAAAGAAAAACUGCCGAAAUAAACCUUGGUAGUUAACUGCCGAGGUUUUCUGCAUCAUUCUAAAAAAAUCAUUCUAAAUUAUUUUGAAAACCGGACUUUUUCCCAAACGUUUAAAAUUCAUUAUAACGAUUCAAACAACAACAAAAUAUUGGUGCAAAUGCACAACUUAAUUUAACCAACAUUUUUGUACAUUAAACAAAGUAAAAAGAUCCCAUGAAAGUAGAAAUAUACAAUUAUACAAAUAAUGUCAUCAAAGUAGAAAUAUACAAUUAUACAAAUAAUGUCAUCAAAAGACGAGAACUAAAAAACAAGUCCUAAAAAUGAAAAUACUACUACUGGUCCUGAUCCUGCUGAUGGUGCCUCCUCCUCGGCCUCUGGGCUCGCCUCCUGGUCAAAAUCGGCGCGAUCUGCUCCCUCAUAUGGGUCAUGGCCUCAAACCACUACUGAGGGGUCAUGCUCAUGACCUCCUCCUGGCCUAAUUGCGCAUCAGCGUAGGCAACAGCGCCACUAACCAUGUCAUAGGUGUCAGGCGAGCUUCUCGCCUCAUACUGCUCCCACUGAUCUGCAAUGAUCUGCUCUUCAUUUGCAGGCCUCGGAAGAUCUCCUGGAAGAGGUGGCAAGAUCUGAGGGUGAGACACCCUAGUGUACCACAGGACAUAGCCAUCCGCCAUCCGCCAUGUAUCCUCUCCUGCCUGCUCACCCCGAUCGUCCGCCUUAAGCGUGUGAGUGCGGAAGUCGACGAACAUCUGCACAAUGGAAGGCGGUGGGAGGUUCCUAACAUCAGUCGGAUGUCUGGGGAUGGUCUGCACGUAUCCGUACUGCCUCAAAACCCUCUCGGGCAAGUGACGGUACACCCUACGGACACCGCACAUAAUCCACCCAGAAUACCAGAAAACCUCCUCGAAGUCCUGGAUCUCUCUGUGCUCCUCGUACGGCCUCCAGCAUACAUCAUCUAACUGUAUACGAUCAAGCAGUGACCAAUACGUGAUCCCCUCCCCAUGACCCUUCUGGAGCUUCCACCUCGCUGCAACCGGAUAGUUUUCCACGUAGUCAGUGUUGGGAUCAACACUGUAAAACCCAGGAAAAUGCGCCAAAAACCAUGCCUGCACAAACCAAACAAAUAACAUUUAUAAAUUAUUACGCACGGAAAAAUAUAACAAAAAAAUAAAAGUUAACAAAAAAAUAAAGUUAACAUAAAUAUAAAAUAUAAGUUUUCUUACAGUGAGCAGUGUCACGCUCCCCCCCAAGAGCUUUGUCUCCAGGCCUACAUGCAUCGGCUAACUCGCUGUAUAGGUAAGCGAGGGUCAUACCUCCCCAGGAAUAAUUACGCAUCCCUGCGUAGCCGUCCUCCAUGGUCGUCAAAUAUAUCAACUCUAUGCGCUUGUUGCUUCUAUCGCCAAACAACAAGCAUCCGACCAAGUAGAGAAGGUAACACCGGACGCAGUAAGUCCUAACCCUCGCCAGCUCCUCAAGCUCCUCCGAAUCCUCCGUACCAGCCAAUAAGUUGGCCCUACCAAGGUACGUGGUAUAAAAGUCCCUCAGCCUCGGGUAGCUAAUGUACCCACCGUACUCCUGGCCGCAAAUCUUUUCAGCCUCAUGCUACGACACACCCAGAUGCCUCAUAAGCAGUGCCGCUACCUCAUGCCUCGGCAUCUUCUUCCCAUGACUCAACAUCCGCCCCUCAAUAGGAAGAUGCGUGAGACAUGCGACAUCAUCCAAUGUCACAGUCAUCUCCCCCAUGGGCAUGUGAAAGGUGCUGGUCUCAGGAUGCCACCUCUCGCAUAAAGUCAUCAGCAGGGCAUGAGGCACGGUGAAGUACCCCAAGUAAACCAAGUCAUGUAGCCCGCUUUGCUUAAGCGGAUCCCAAAACCAAUUCUCAUUCCCGUUAGGGCGUCCGAGAGUGAGAAUCUUGGCCCCAUGAUUAAUCGGUUUAAGCACACGGAGCUUACGAACCUGAAAUAAUAGAAAAAUAAAUAUGGUUUAAACAAAAACACAUAUAAAGAAAACAAUUAAACAUAAAAAAUAGAAUUAAAAAAAACACAUAUAAAAGUGUAUAUAAUAAUUAAACAAACACACUUUUAAAGAAAAUAAUUAAACAUAAAGAAAAAGAAUUAAGAAAAACAUGUAAAAGUGGAUAUAAUAAUUAAACAAACACACAUUUAAAGAAAAUAAUUAAACAUAAAAAAUAGAAUUAAAAAAAAACACAUAUAAAAGUGGAUAUAAUAAUUAAACAAACACACAUUUAAAUUAAAGAAAAUAUUUUAACAUAAAAAAAAAACAUUUAAAAAAAUUACACUUACAUUAUUUGAAUUAUAUCAGAGUGGCAACGCCACAUGAUCGGCAUAAGAGUGGAGCAAGGACAAGUCAGCCGGUCCACCAGGAAAGGGAGGGUCCACAGGUAACACCUCCGGUGCAGCAGCUGCUGCAAUGUCAUCAUCGUCACCUGCAUCCUGCUGCUGUGGUAUAUGAUCCUGGUCAUAUCCACCAUCAGUCACAUCAUGCUGUACCUGAUCCUGAUAGUUCAGGUACUCCAUCCCAGUCUGGUCAACAAGCUGUGACGGGUCAACAACCUGUGACUCCUCAUGUUGUGUAGCCUGAGAGCUUCCUGAGCCAUCUCCCCUCCGACCUCUACCCCUCUUUGGGAUGUGGCCGCUCUGCCUCUCCCUCCGGUGGCUCUGAGUCAUCGCACGCCUACCACCAAUCAUCUUAGAUGGAUCAAUGGGGUCCUGAUCGGCCAUAUCUACAAAACAAAAAAUAAAAUUAAUAUCAUUUUCAUAACCUAAUCAAACACAUUCAACCUAAACUAAACAUAAACAAAAUCAAACUGAUUAAAAGUACAACAAUGAACAUCAUUUCCAUAACCUAAAAUCAUUUAAUAUAAUCAUCAUUACAAUAAAAUUUAUGUCCAUCAUUUCGAUAAUAACCUAAACAUCAUUCAAUAAUUAACAUACACUUAAUCAUUUCUAUACAACUAAAUCAUUUGUGUCCAUCAUAAUUCUCGUAACCUAAACUAACUAAAAAAUCAAUAUACACUUAACCAAACUAUAAUUAACCCUAAUUUCUAUCAUUUCCAUAACUAAACUAACUAAAUAAUCAAUAAAAUUGUCAUUGAGACAUUUUAUCAAACACUUUGUGUGCAAAGUAUAAAACAUAUUCAAAUUGUGUUCAUUUGCCACCAUUCAAAGCCACAUUAUGAUUUAAACAACAUAGGCAACAACUACAUUCAUUUAUCAAUUCCUGAACUACACAUGCAAUCAUCAAAUUGUCAAUUUUGAAAUCAACCCUAACCACAUACAAACCACUCUAAUUUUUUUAAAAAAAUAAACCUAAACAAAUUAACAUUAACAUUAAAAUGAUUGACACAACUUAUUUGUGAUAAUGUGCACUUGAUUUGCUUGCAAUUCGCGAAAAUGGAUUUGGUGAAGAUUGGAGAGAAAUUGAGAAUUUAGAAAGUUUUUUGAAAAUGGGAGGUUCUGGUUCUGCGAUCUGUUUAAGUUCAGAUUUCCUCGGCAGUUAACUGCCGCCGGUUUCCUAAAAACUUUGGCAAUUUACUACCGAAGGGCAUUUGCGUAAUUUACUCGUGUGGCACAGCCAAACUAUGUGUGGGAACAACAAUUCUAUUUCGCGUAUGUUCUCAUCAUUCUGUUGAUUGAUUCUAUGGUUUUCGUCGCCGUCGACGGCUACAACGGAGUUCGUCUAAAACCCUCUCGGGUAGGAUCCAUUAGAUCCGGGUCACAUUUUAGAUCUGGUUUUCCUCUGAUCUGUCCUACUUGGUCUCGCCGCGUGUUGGUCGAUUCAAGGAGGUCUCGAUCAGAAUUGUUGAGUAGAUGUGUCAGAUUAGACAUUUUCCUCUCCGGCGGUCAAGCUUCAGCUCGGAUUCCCAACCUACCGUCGUCCUCAUCCUCAAGGUUGUCGUCGUUCUUCAAGGUCUGAUAAAGGACGAUCGUUGUGUUGAUCUAAAUGUUUCUGUAUGAUAGUUGCGUUUCUGGUCUAAAGGUUCAAGUAUUCCUCCCUGUGUCGGAAGGAGAGUCUUAUUUGGUAUUUUCUUUGGGGCUCAAAAGAGUUUUUAACUUGCCGUGCUUUGCAAGGAGAGGAUGGUGUGUGGAUCUGCUCCGUGUUUACGAUUGGUCCGUUCACCGUGGUCUAGACCUCUACUUAAGAGGCUGUUUUGAUCAAUUUGUGUUGUUUUUAAUUUUCAUAUUACAUGUUUGGGUAUACCUACAUUUUAUGGAUAAACUAGUUAUUAGGUUUAUGUCCCCUAUUUUUUAUUUUUUAUUUUUUUUAAUAAUAUUUAUAAGCACUUGAAAAAAAAUUAGAGAUAUCAACUUAGUUGAGAGCCACUCUUUUUGAUGUCAUUUGCUCUUGUCUUGUAAAAAAAAAAGUUGAUAUAUAUCGUAUAUAUACUUGAGUAUACUAGUAUUUACCUUAUCCAAAUAUCUUAAUACCUUUGGAAAGUGCUCACCUUAUGCAAAUAUUUCAAUUGCUUCUAACGUGGUUGGGAUACUAAAGAAUGUAAACUUAAAUACAUCCUCCGGUCAGUAUUAUAAACAAAAAUCUACUUUUUAGGUUCAUUCAAUAAAUGAUGUAUGUAGUUCAUUAAAUAGGCCACACACAUCAUUUAUUGAAUGAACCUAAAAAAAUAAAAUUUUACUUAUAAUAGUGACCGGAGGAUGUAUGCAACACAUAUCAAUAAUAUUUAUUCAAUAUUAGUUUUUGGGUUCAUAAGAGUCCUAAGACAAAUAUAGUUUUUGGGAAAGUUUGUGAUUAUGCAUGCUCGUUUUAUUUUUUGAAAGGGUGAAAAUGAAAUAUAUUAAUACCAACCAUAAGAAGUCUUUUAAGUACAAGUGGCACCGGAAAUGACGUAAUAAAAGAGCAGAGUUAUAUUACAAGAAAGUCCAAACAACAAAAGAGAAAACAAUGUUACAUAUGUUACCGCAGUUAAACAAGGAAUUGGAUUAAGCCUUUAAAAAUGAUAAUCCAAAAUAAGAUAUCUCAAUUUCAACUACUAAAAAAGAUUGAAGCUUUACCUUUUCAUUUAAAGAUUGCAGGUGCUCCUCCUUGUGUCUAAAGAUGCGUAUAUUUAUCUCUUUUUAAAUGACUCAAAUCACUGAAAGUCAAAUAAUAUCAAUAGCCUAACAGAUAUUUUUCGAAUUAUCCCUUAAUCCACCAAACCGCAGGAAGACGAUCUUGUUAAAGUAGAGACCAUCUUGAAAUUAGAGACCAGAUUCUACCAAAAAAGUCACAUGUAACAAAUAUAUGGUCCAUGUCUUCUAUCAAACCACAACUUGUCGAACAAUUUUGAUCAUUUAGACUAAGAAUCCCUCGUCUUACCAAAUUAUCCUUUGUCGGAACAUGAUUAAUAAGAAGUAAGCGCCAAACAAAUUAUUAACUUUUAGCGGAACAACUUUUAACCACAACAUUAUUGUUAGUCGGAUGGAUGUUGUCUUCCACUCCAGUCAAGUUGUUACAAGACAUAAUGACCGUAAACAAUUGAAGUUAAAUGCUCAACACAUUCCCCCACCAACUUUCCUCCCAAGCAAACAACGUCCUACACCACUUCCACGGCUCACCGUUCACUCCCCAACCUAAAACAUUCAUUUACCACAGUCACCAUUUUGUUCUCCACUAACUUAUAAAGCCCACCAAAUUUAACGUUAAAAGAAGAUCUCUUGAGUUAGAGGUCCCUCCAAAAUAGGGUAGAUGUCCAAUCACCUACCUCACAACCAAGCAAAUGAAGAGUUCUCAUUUCAAUGUUGUGAUAAUUUAAUUACAAUUCACAAUUCGACUGGAUACCUAAAUAAACUUCAGAAGACAAUGGAGCAUCCUUGGAUAAUUAAGAAUGCAAAUCGUAUUACUGUAAAGAAUUGUUAAAAGGAAAGUGUGCCCAAACAUUUUAUUCAUCUAAGUUAAGCCUCAAUUAAAUUUAACUCACAAGGGCAUUGCAACAUUUCAUAUUGGCAACUUAACCAAACUGUACCAAUUUGAACUAAAUCAAAUCAUGCAUAUCAAAUUUAAUUAGAUUGGACACAUGACUAAAUUGUAAAAGACAAGAACAUAUCACAUUGAACCGAAUCAAACCAAAUAUGAUACAAAUCAAAUUAGGAAAAUUCUAUGGUGAAGUUCCGAAAAUGACUUCUCCGGUGAAGUAACCCUACAACUAAUAAGAACGCGCCAUAUUUGUUAGUGAUGCCAUGUCAUACUGGCAGAUGCAUGGUAUGUACUGUGUUCCUUUAGACAAAUUUAAUAGUACUUUAGCCCUUGAACUAAUUAUAAUUGCACUAUUUUCUUUUUAUUUUUAAAAGAUCAAUUUAAAUCAUCUGUUAACAAUUAAGUUAAAAAAUUAAAAUUAAGAUAAAAAAACAGACUUCAACCUUCCCCUGUUCCUUCAGAAAAACAUACCCUUGUUCGUUCUCCUCUCCCACCAUAGUAGAAGGAUUUCGCCUCCAAUCUCCACCCUUUUCCCGAUCGUUGCCCUUCCAUGUAGUCCGGCAUGCAUGGCCACGGACAUGAGAAGGCCACGACGGCGACAGUUUGAACAGCUGUGCGUUAAAAUGUAGCAACACAAAGAGGCACCGAUUUGUGAAAACAACACUGCACAGAGUGGACCAAUCAGUGCAACACUAAUCAAUUCACAACAAGGCAAUCGUACGUAACAAUGGAAAACAAGUUACGGUGGAGCACUUGGAAUAGCCAACACCGAAAACAAAAGAAUAAUGGAAGUAAACAAGCUAGGCAAACCCUAGAGCUAGAUCACACAAUUAAAUACAUAUACUUUGCAUUAUACUCAAUAUUUAAAAUUAUCACAACACAUAUAAUUGAUUGUAAUAAUUGAGGUUUAUAUCUUGUCUAUCAUGAAAGAUUAAAGAUGAAUUAAAAUAGAUAUAAACUUAUAAUGAAUAGCUAGUAAAAUAACGAGCUAAUAUAACGACCAUCAAAAGACAAUUAAUAAUAAUUAUAAUUUAAAGAAUGAGGCUUUUUCCACUAUAAAGUGAUCAUGCCUAUUUAUAUUUCUACAUACAAACAAGUAAAUAAUAUGGAUGAAAUUAUCAAGUUUCUUUUUGUUAUGGUUAUUUAUCUUUUAAUGUUCACCAUUGUAAUCGACGGUAAGUUUAUUUUUGCAAAAAAAAAAAAAAAUCAAACUUUUCUUUUUAAUCUUAUACGUACUCAAUGUUUUAUUGCAUAUUACUAACAAUAAUUUUUUUUAAUUUGUCAUCAUAGCGACUUCUUUUUGUGAUUCUGUUAAAGAUUGUCGCGAACCUGCUUUUUUUUGUGAGCCUCCUAAAAUUGCAAGGUGCGUAAUGUUGUUUUGUCGAUGUGACUAAUAGUAGCAAUUAAGUUUAAAACUAGAUCCUUCAAAAAAAAAAGUUUAAAACUAGGUGUAUGGUACUUCUAAAAGCGAAUAAUUGUAUUUAAAAUUAUAUUGUUGAUACUUUUUUGAUAUAUUUCACACUUCAAUAUCUGUUCAUCAGACCUUCAAAUUUAUUUGAUUGACGAUUGCAUUUGAAAUUAUAUUGUUGGUACUUUUAUGAUAUAUUUCACACUUCAAUAUUUGUUUGUCAGACCUUCGAAUUUAUUUGAUUGACUAGAAAUCAUAUUAUUGUAUUAUGCAAGCGUUGCUACAUUUGUUCGCUCUUAGAAGUUAUCGAGAUUAAUUUGCACAAUUAAAACUAUUUACGUUAAUAAAUAAAACAUAAAAAAUGUUAAUAAAUAAAACCAAUAUUUUAUUUAUUUAAAUAAAUCAUUAUGGAGCAUAUUAUUAGAAAGACAUCUAUAGUAAACAAGGUUAGUAUUGUAAAAGUGUCAUGUCUUUUAACAAAAUUAUUACAUUUCAUAAAUUCAUGUAAUUAUAUUAUUUUGUAAUUAUUUAAAAUAAUUUGUUAAUGACUCUCAUUUUAGCGGUUAAUGACAUACUCAAAGUAACUAAUGAGACAUAUGUUUUUAUUUUAUUUUAUAAAAGUCAGAAAUUUAUUGGAAAAAAAAAAAGCAUAAAAAAAUUGAGGUGAUAAAUGCCGAAACCAAAUUAAACUAACAAAACCUAAUAAAUGAAAACAUGAUACAUCUCUAAAUAAAAGGGUUAAAAUAACAAGUAGAGCUGUCAAAACGGUAUGGGCCGGCCCGUUUAACCCGAAUAAAUAUAGGGCUUGGGCCUAAGAUAUUGAGCCCGAAUUUUAAUAGGGCUUUUUAGCCCGGCCCUUAAAAGCCCGAUACCCGUUAGGGCUAGCCCGAAUGGGCCGCGGAUAGCCCGUUAGCCCGCAUAACAAAAAAAAAUUCUAUAAAUUAUAUAUAUUUUUCAAAUAAUUAUUUACUUAGUUGAUUAUCAAAGUAAAAAACAAAAAUGAAAAUUCAAUGAAUUAACACAAAUAUAAAUGUAAUAUAAAAUUAUAUUUAUUCAUUUCAUUAUUUAUAAUUUUAAAGAUCGAAUAUAUAAAUAUCUAUAACCAUAACAUAUCUAAUUUAUUUAAAAUCAUUUUCCUCGUCGUUUUAGUUUACGACGUUUGUACAAAAAUGUUUACAAUUUACUUUUGUGCUAGACAUUAUUUAAACAUAUUAAAAAUAUUAUUUAUAAAAAAAUUAUAGUAAUGUUUUAUAGUACUUUUUUAAAAUAAAAAAAUAUAUAAUUUUUAAUACGGGCCGGACCCGGAUAGUAUAUUUCAAACCCGUUUUGUCAACCGGACUUUUUGGCCCAGCCCGCUAAAGCCCGAAGCUCGCUAGGGCCGACCCGUUUAGGGCCGGGCCACCCGUUUUGACAGCUCUAAUAACAAGGGGAUCAAACCAUGAGCAAUCCAAAACAAGAUAUUCAUUUGAUAUUCAUUUUUUGAUUGUAUUUGCAUGUAUAAUUUGUUAUUUACUUGCAUGUAUAAAAUAAAGGAUUGAUGACCCAAUCUUAUGUUUAUGUUCCAAAAAUACUUCUCUAUAUUUUUUAGGUUUAAUUGCACUUUCCCCCCUUAUCUUUUGCCAAUUGUGUGAUUUUGCACCCUAUUGUUUUAAAUGAGCGAUUUUGCACGCCAUCAUUUUCCCCCUUUCUGAUUUCAAGGUCCCCGUGUGUUUCAGUGAUGAUGUGUUCAUUUUUUAUGACGUGUUCACAUUUAAUUCGUUCCAUGUGUGUAAUUUUUUUUUUUUUGUCAAGUAGCGUAGUGGUUAGAAUUCACCUUAUAAGGUGAAUAAGUGGGGUGUCCGGGGUUCGAACCCCGGCCCCUGCAUAUAAUAAUGCAUUGUCCUACCAACUGAGCUAUGCUCACGGGACGUAAAUCAUAUUUUUUUUUUUUUAAAAAAAAAAAAAUUCGAAAUUAAACAGAGGGAGUCACGUGAUAUCCUUUUUGAAAUCCCUAAUUUUUAUCUUCUUCCCCCAUUCCUUCGACUGCAUGCCUCCUCCAUUUUCUUCCUCUUUUUUGCUUCCUUUUUGCUUGCUUUCUCAUACCUUGUUAUCGAUCAUCGAUCUCUCAUCUUUCUUAGAAAUCGUGGUUGAGCCUAACACAACCCCACAAAAUCGGUUUGCGAGGUGAUGAUUGCCCCCACUUAUAAACACAUUGUCAGGCCAUGUCGUAUCCGAUGUGGGACUCUUAACACACUCGCUUGGUUCGUGGACAUAAACGGUGGGUGGCCUGAUAGCGGAAACCUGAUAGCAGGUGGCCCAAUGAAUCUUGGAGAGAGGCUAUGAUAACAUCUUAGAAAUCGUGGUUAGGCCUAACACAACCCCACAAAACCGGUUUACGAGGUAAGGAUUGCCCCCACUUAUAAACACAUUGUCGAGCAUGUCUUAUCCAUGUCUUAUCCGAUGUGGGACUCUUAACAAUCUUUUCUCACAUCCUUCCUUGAUUUUGAACGGUGUCUGUUACUUGAUUUUGAACUGUUGCAGAUUCAUAGAUUUUCGCUUGUUCCUUGUCAUCUUCAUUUUCAUUGUUGGAGCUUCUACCUUCACCUCCAAUUGAUAUAUACACAGUAGAGUCUUGAGCAAUGGUGAAUGGUGUAUGAAUUGAAAUGAUAAGUUGCAAUCAUUACUCCCACUCUCUUGUAUGUUGUAACGAUGCCAACAUAUCACUACAUGUUGAGACCAAUACGACGUCUGUCAACUACACGGACUAACGUGCACACAGCCACACCAGGGAGUGAAAAACGCAACUGCAGCUGUAGCAGACACCAAAAAACCAGCAGGAACCCUGCAAAAAAACACACCAGGCCUUCUAUCACAGAAGCACAAAACCGCAGGAACAGCAGCAGAACUAAAUACAGCAGCAGUUCUCAAGUUUUUCAAUGUGUUCGUGGAUGUCUCCUUCAUCUUUAGAUUAGAGUUUCGAUUGGAAGGAGAUGAACACAGAGAACAAUAUGAAAAGUUAGGAAUUCUGAUUGUAGGGGUGUGUUAGGAUUUUGUGAGGGUAUGAGAAGGGUCACGUGACUACUUUCUCAAAAUCUGAAAAUUCCAUUUUUUUUUAAUAAAUAUAAUUACACACGUGGCACACAUUAAAUAAUCAAAAACAGAUACAUUAUCACUAAAAGUUAUGGGGGACCUUGAAAUCAGAAAAGGAGAAAAGAACGGGGUGUAAAAUCGCUCGUUUAAAACUAUGGAGCACAAAAUCGCGCAAUUGUCAAAAGAUAGGGGAAAGAGUCCAAUUAAACCUAUUUUUUAUUUACUUUUUUUUUUAAAACAAAUUGGACAAAAAAAGUAUUAUUCACCACAUAAAUACAUUAAACACAAAAUAUGUUGUUUAAUAUUGUGUCUUAAAAUUGUGUUUUCAUAACUAUUUCUUAUUUUAUGUAGUAUAUUAGACAUAAAUGUAGUUGAUUAGUGAAGGGAACUAACACAUCAGCACAACAAUAAAUCAAUAAAUAAAAUUUCUCAACUUAUAAAAGUUUGUUAUUAUAUACUAGCGAAAAGACGGGCACUCACGUGCCUGUUUUUCUGCUCUUUUAUUGCGCUAACGUUUGAAAAUUAUGAACGGUGUUUUUUAUGAAAUUUUGAUUUUGAGUAAAACUAAAAAUAUAAAUGUUUGUUUCUUUCCAAUUAUAACAAACCAAACUAACCAU